AGGCUGAUAGCUUAUUAGGUAAAGCAUGUUGCUCAUAACAACAAAGUAGUUGG
rnacentral:tRNA from 6 species